rnacentral:rRNA from 1 species
UGGCGGACGGGUGAGUAAUGUCUGGGAAACUGCCUGAUGGAGGGGGGUAACUACUGGAAACGGUAGCUAAUACCGCAUAACGUCGCAAGACCAAAGAGGGGGACCUUCGGGCCUCUUGCCAUCGGAUGUGCCCAGAUGGGAUUAGCUAGUAGGUGGGGUAACGGCUCACCUAGGCGACGAUCCCUAGCUGGUCUGAGAGGAUGACCAGCCACACUGGAACUGAGACACGGCCCAA